rnacentral:rRNA from 1 species
UUAAGCGACUAAGCGUACACGGUGGAUGCCCUGGCAGUCAGAGGCGAUGAAGGACGUGCUAAUCUGCGAAAAGCGUCGGUAAGGUGAUAUGAACCGUUAUAACCGGCGAUGUCCGAAUGGGGAAACCCAGUGUGAUUCGUCACACUAUCGUUAACUGAAUACAUAGGUUAACGAGGCGAACCGGGGGAACUGAAACAUCUAAGUACCCCGAGGAAAAGAAAUCAACCGAGAUUCCCCCAGUAGCGGCGAGCGAACGGGGAGCAGCCCAGAGUCUGAAUCAGCUUGUGUGUUAGUGGAACGGUCUGGAAAGUCCGACGGUACAGGGUGAUAGUCCCGUACACCAAAAUGCACAGGUUGUGAACUCGAAGAGUAGGGCGGGACACGUGGUAUCCUGUCUGAAUAUGGGGGGACCAUCCUCCAAGGCUAAAUACUCCUGACUGACCGAUAGUGAACCAGUACCGUGAGGGAAAGGCGAAAAGAACCCCGGCGAGGGGAGUGAAAAAGAACCUGAAACCGUGUACGUACAAGCAGUGGGAGCACCUUCGGGUGUGACUGCGUACCUUUUGUAUAAUGGGUCAGCGACUUAUAUUCUGUAGCAAGGUUAACCGUAUAGGGGAGCCGCAGGGAAACCGAGUCUUAACUGGGCGUUAAGUUGCAGGGUAUAGACCCGAAACCCGGUGAUCUAGCCAUGGGCAGGUUGAAGGUUGGGUAACACUAACUGGAGGACCGAACCGACUAAUGUUGAAAAAUUAGCGGAUGACUUGUGGCUGGGGGUGAAAGGCCAAUCAAACCGGGAGAUAGCUGGUUCUCCCCGAAAGCUAUUUAGGUAGCGCCUCGUGAACUCAUCUUCGGGGGUAGAGCACUGUUUCGGCUAGGGGGUCAUCCCGACUUACCAACCCGAUGCAAACUACGAAUACCGAAGAAUGUUAUCACGGGAGACACACGGCGGGUGCUAACGUCCGUCGUGAAGAGGGAAACAACCCAGACCGCCAGCUAAGGUCCCAAAGUCAUGGUUAAGUGGGAAACGAUGUGGGAAGGCACAGACAGCCAGGAUGUUGGCUUAGAAGCAGCCAUCAUUUAAAGAAAGCGUAAUAGCUCACUGGUCGAGUCGGCCUGCGCGGAAGAUGUAACGGGGCUAAACCAUGCACCGAAGCUGCGGCAGCGACACUAUGUGUUGUUGGGUAGGGGAGCGUUCUGUAAGCCUGCGAAGGUGACCUGUGAGGGUUGCUGGAGGUAUCAGAAGUGCGAAUGCUGACAUAAGUAACGAUAAAGCGGGUGAAAAGCCCGCUCGCCGGAAGACCAAGGGUUCCUGUCCAACGUUAAUCGGGGCAGGGUGAGUCGACCCCUAAGGCGAGGCCGAAAGGCGUAGUCGAUGGGAAACAGGUUAAUAUUCCUGUACUUGGUGUUACUGCGAAGGGGGGACGGAGAAGGCUAUGUUAGCCGGGCGACGGUUGUCCCGGUUUAAGCAUGUAGGCUGGUUGUCCAGGCAAAUCCGGAUAAUCAAGGCUGAGGUGUGAUGACGAGGCACUACGGUGCUGAAGUAACAAAUGCCCUGCUUCCAGGAAAAGCCUCUAAGCAUCAGGUAACAUUAAAUCGUACCCCAAACCGACACAGGUGGUCAGGUAGAGAAUACCAAGGCGCUUGAGAGAACUCGGGUGAAGGAACUAGGCAAAAUGGUGCCGUAACUUCGGGAGAAGGCACGCUGGUGUGUAGGUGAAGUCCCUGCGGAUGGAGCUGAGACCAGUCGAAGAUACCAGCUGGCUGCAACUGUUUAUUAAAAACACAGCACUGUGCAAACACGAAAGUGGACGUAUACGGUGUGACGCCUGCCCGGUGCCGGAAGGUUAAUUGAUGGGGUUAUCCGUAAGGAGAAGCUCUUGAUCGAAGCCCCGGUAAACGGCGGCCGUAACUAUAACGGUCCUAAGGUAGCGAAAUUCCUUGUCGGGUAAGUUCCGACCUGCACGAAUGGCGUAAUGAUGGCCAGGCUGUCUCCACCCGAGACUCAGUGAAAUUGAACUCGCUGUGAAGAUGCAGUGUACCCGCGGCAAGACGGAAAGACCCCGUGAACCUUUACUAUAGCUUGACACUGAACAUUGAGCCUUGAUGUGUAGGAUAGGUGGGAGGCUUUGAAGCGUGGACGCCAGUCUGCGUGGAGCCAACCUUGAAAUACCACCCUUUAAUGUUUGAUGUUCUAACGUUGGCCCCUUACCGGGGUUGCGGACAGUGUCUGGUGGGUAGUUUGACUGGGGCGGUCUCCUCCCAAAGCGUAACGGAGGAGCACGAAGGUUAGCUAAUCCUGGUCGGACAUCAGGAGGUUAGUGCAAUGGCAUAAGCUAGCUUGACUGCGAGCGUGACGGCGCGAGCAGGUGCGAAAGCAGGUCAUAGUGAUCCGGUGGUUCUGAAUGGAAGGGCCAUCGCUCAACGGAUAAAAGGUACUCCGGGGAUAACAGGCUGAUACCGCCCAAGAGUUCAUAUCGACGGCGGUGUUUGGCACCUCGAUGUCGGCUCAUCACAUCCUGGGGCUGAAGUAGGUCCCAAGGGUAUGGCUGUUCGCCAUUUAAAGUGGUACGCGAGCUGGGUUUAGAACGUCGUGAGACAGUUCGGUCCCUAUCUGCCGUGGGCGCUGGAGAAUUGAGGGGGGCUGCUCCUAGUACGAGAGGACCGGAGUGGACGCAUCACUGGUGUUCGGGUUGUCAUGCCAAUGGCACUGCCCGGUAGCUAAAUGCGGAAGAGAUAAGUGCUGAAAGCAUCUAAGCACGAAACUUGCCCCGAGAUGAGUUCUCCCUGAGACUUUAAGUCUCCUGAAGGAACGUUGAAGACGACGACGUUGAUAGGCCGGGUGUGUAAGCGCAGCGAUGCGUUGAGCUAACCGGUACUAAUGAACCGUGAGGCUUAACCUU